UGGGGAAUAUUGCACAAUGGGCGCAAGCCUGAUGCAGCAACGCCGCGUGAGGGACGACGGCCUUCGGGUUGUAAACCUCUUUUGGCAGGGAAGAAGCGAAAGUGACGGUACCUGCAGAAAAAGCACCGGCUAACUACGUGCCAGCAGCCGCGGUGAUACGUAGGGUGCAAGCGUUGUCCGGAUUCAUUGGGUUUAAAGGGUGCGUAGGCGGGCUUGUAAGUCAGUGGUGAAAUCUCUCAGCUUAACUGAGAAACCGCCAUUGAUACUGCAGGCCUAGAGUAUAGAUGACGUUGGCGGAAUAUGACAUGUAGUGGUGAAAUACUUAGAUAUGUCAUAGAACACCAAUUGCGAAGGCAGCUAACGAAACUAUAACUGACGCUGAGGCACGAAAGUGCGGGGAUCAAACA
rnacentral:rRNA from 1 species